rnacentral:lncRNA from 1 species
CAACACAUUUGGCUGGCUGCUUCCUGCGGUUGGACCUGCCUGUGUCUGGGCUGCGAAGAGUAAGCAAAGGAGAAUGACGGUCUUUCAUCAUUGUCUUAGCAAAGAAUCCUGAAAUCGGAUUCAUGUGGCCUGGGGAUGCCGGAGAGUCGCCGAAGACACUUGGGGAAGGCGCUUUAUUUUCUUAUCUGUGAUAAUGCGACUCGCCCCAGCAUGUCGUGGCAAAGCUCCAGUGAGGCGAAGCACCUUGUCAACGCUGGAGAACCACGCACGUUUGACAGGUGGCUGCGGCUACAGUUGCCUGUUUUGUUUUCUCCUUUGGUCUUUUCCUGUGAAGGUGAGAUCUGGCCAUGCUCUCACUGGGUGUUCAGCCUCCUGCAUCCGGGGCUCAUCGCCGGGGUCCCUGAGUCUGGCUCCGCAAGAAAUGAUUGAACGUCGACACUGCCAGAGAGAUCCCGAGGAAUGGAGAACACCUCGAUCAAAGCUUGACCAAGCUCCUAACGCGCUGCCAAAUUAUAUUUUAAAAGGACGGUUCCAAUUGUCCAUCCCGCCAGCCCUGUUUGAGAGGUAUGCGAGUAGCUACAGAGAGCUACUGGGGCACCGGAGGGUCGGCUCAGAGAUCAGAGUGUCUGUUUGUUUUAAUUUUAUUAAUUUUAUCUAUCUAUCUAUCGAUCGAUUUAUUUAUUUAUUUAUUUAUUUAUUUAUUUAUUUUUGAUAUAAUUUAUUGUCAAGUUGACUAACAUAGAGUGUAAACGGUGAGCUCUUGGUUUUGGGGGUAGAUGCCCGUGACUCAUCGCUUAGAGUGCCUGCACCACAACACUCCCGACGUACCAACGGCACGGCCCAACACGAGCCAUUUAACCCCCACGGGCCUCAGUUUUCUCGUUUUUCCAAACGGAGAUGCCAUAGCGGCCUGGGAUGACCACUGGGGGUUGCAUGGAAGCGAUGACCCACGAGGACCUACCCGGCAAACCAACAGCACGCUUUACACACUGUAUGUUAGCCAAUUUGACAAUAAAUUGCAUUAAAAACAUAAAAGUGUAAUUACA